rnacentral:rRNA from 1 species
AUGGAUGAUUGGCACCACGUUUCAUACUGCUUGCGAAAAUUCCUCAGAGGGUGGUCUAAGAACCAUUUUGCUGAGGUUAGGCGUGACAAAGCUAGGCUGGGUGCCCAAAUUGGCGAUCUUGAUAUUCGUGCGGAUAAUGUUGGCCUCUCGAAGGCUGAUUGGCAGCUCCGUUAUGGCCUUGAGAAGACGCUUUUGGAAAUUCACCGCCAGGAGGAAGUUUAUUGGAAGCAAAGAGGCACGGUUAACUGGACCCUUAAGGGUGAUGCGCCCACGGCUUACUUCUUUGCCAUUGCGAAUGGUAGGCAUCGUAGAUGCCUGAUUGAUAGCCUUCUGACUGAUGGUGUUAGGGUCUCUGACCCUUCGGUCAUUCUUCGUCAUGUGGUUCAUUUCUUUUCUAACCUGCUAGCGGCUAAACCUGAGCUGGGCUUUUCGCUUGCUCCGGGCUUCUGGACCCCCCUUGAGCAGGUGUCGAGCGCAGAUAAUGAUCUCCUGCUUAUUCCCCCUCUGAGGAGGAAAUUUUCGAUACCAUCCGGACCGCCAACUCCAAUGUGGCUUCAGGCCCUAAUGGCUUCUCCUUUCCUUUCUUUCAGCAUUUCUGGCCUCAAUUAA